CUUGGUACAUUUUCCUGAAUAUCAAGUGGUGCUCUCAUUAAGGGGUGAAAUUUUACUGUAAAAAUUGUGGACAGGAAGGGCAUAGGAGCAACUACUGUCCAGAAAUUCGAGACAAUACAGAUAGACGUUAUAGAUGUCGAUUAUGUGGAGCAAAGGGUCA